AACGUAGGUGGCAAGCGUUAUCCGGAUUUACUGGGCGUAAAGGGUGUGCAGGCGGGGGUGCAAGUGGGGGAUGAAAUCUCCCGGCUUAACCGGGAGGGGUUAUGCCAGACUGCAAUUCUAGAGGACGAGAGAGGGGGGUGGAAUUCCGGGUGUAGUGGUGAAAUGCGCAGAUAUCAGGAGGAGCACCGGUGGCGAAGGCAGGUCUCUGGGCCGAUACUGACGCUGAGGAGCGAAAGCGUGGGGAGCGAACAGG
rnacentral:rRNA from 1 species